CUCUCGGCAACGGAUAUCUCGGCUCUCGCAUCGAUGAAGAACGUAGCGAAAUGCGAUACCUGGUGUGAAUUGCAGAAUCCCGUGAACCAUCGAGUCUUUGAACGCAAGUUGCGCCCGAGGCCAUCCGGCUAAGGGCACGCCUGCCUGGGCAUCAC
rnacentral:rRNA from 2 species